AGAGUUUGAUCCUGGCUCAGAUUGAACGCUGGCGGCAGGCCUAACACAUGCAAGUCGAGCGGUAGAGAGAAGCUUGCUUCUCUUGAGAGCGGCGGACGGGUGAGUAAUGCCUAGGAAUCUGCCUGGUAGUGGGGGAUAACGUUCGGAAACGGACGCUAAUACCGCAUACGUCCUACGGGAGAAAGCAGGGGACCUUCGGGCCUUGCGCUAUCAGAUGAGCCUAGGUCGGAUUAGCUAGUUGGUGGGGUAAUGGCUCACCAAGGCGACGAUCCGUAACUGGUCUGAGAGGAUGAUCAGUCACACUGGAACUGAGACACGGUCCAGACUCCUACGGGAGGCAGCAGUGGGGAAUAUUGGACAAUGGGCGAAAGCCUGAUCCAGCCAUGCCGCGUGUGUGAAGAAGGUCUUCGGAUUGUAAAGCACUUUGAGUUGGGAGGAAGGGCAGUUACCUAAUACGUAAUUGUUUUGACGUUACCGACAGAAUAAGCACCGGCUAACUCUGUGCCAGCAGCCGCGGUAAUACAGAGGGUGCAAGCGUUAAUCGGAAUUACUGGGCGUAAAGCGCGCGUAGGUGGUUUGUUAAGUUGGAUGUGAAAUCCCCGGGCUCAACCUGGGAACUGCAUUCAAAACUGACUGACUAGAGUAUGGUAGAGGGUGGUGGAAUUUCCUGUGUAGCGGUGAAAUGCGUAGAUAU
rnacentral:rRNA from 1 species